GCGUUCGUAGCUCAGCUGGAUAGAGCGUAAGCCUCCGAAGCUUAAGGUCGGCCGUUCGAAUCGGCUCGAACGCGCCA
rnacentral:tRNA from 1 species